rnacentral:rRNA from 1 species
CACGUAGGGGGCGAGCGUUGUCCGGAUUUAUUGGGCGUAAAGAGCUCGUAGGCGGUUUCGUAAGUCGGAUGUGAAAACUCCAGGCUCAACUUGGAGACGCCAUUCGAUACUGCGAUGACUUGAGUCCGGUAGGGGAGUGUGGAAUUCCUGGUGUAGCGGUGAAAUGCGCAGAUAUCAGGAGGAACACCGGCGGCGAAGGCGGCGACCUGGGCCAAUAUUGACGCUGAGGUGCGAAAGCGUGGGGAGCAAACAGG